CGGGGCAUCGUAUAGAGGUAGUACGCAAGGCUGGGGGUCUUGUAGCCUGAGUUCGAUUCUCAGUGCCCCGA
rnacentral:tRNA from 1 species